rnacentral:rRNA from 1 species
UACGAAGGGGGCUAGCGUUGCGCGGAAUUACUGGGCGUAAAGGGCGCGUAGGCGGAUAGUUUAGUCAGAGGUGAAAGCCCAGGGCUCAACCUUGGAACUGCCUUUGAUACUGGCUAUCUUGAGUUCGGGAGAGGUGAGUGGAAUGCCGAGUGUAGAGGUGAAAUUCGUAGAUAUUCGGCGGAACACCAGUGGCGAAGGCGACUCACUGGCCCGAUACUGACGCUGAGGCGCGAAAGCGUGGGGAGCAAACAGG